AUUGAACGCUGGCGGCAGGCCUAACACAUGCAAGUCGAGCGAGCGGCGGACGGGUGAGUAAUGUCUGGGACACUGCCUGAUGGAGGGGGAUAACUACUUGAAACGGUAGCUAAUACCGCAUACCAUCAGAUGUGCCCAGAUGGGAUUAGCUAGUAGGUGGGGUAACGGCUCACCUAGGCGACGAACCCUAGCUGGUCUGAGAGGCUGACCAGCCACACUGGAACUGGGACACGGUCCAGACUCCUACGGGAGGCAGCAGUGGGGAACAGUGCACAAUGUGCGCAAGCCUGAUGCUGCCCUGCCGCGUGUGUGAAGGAGGCCUUCGGGUUGUAAAGCACUUGCAACGGGGCGGCGUUACCCGCAGAAGAAGCACCGGCUAACUCCGUGCCAGCAGCCGCGGUAAUUC
rnacentral:rRNA from 1 species